GAUGAACGCUAGCGGCAGGCCUAAUACAUGCAAGUCGAGGGGUAAGUCAGAAGCUUGCUUUUGACACGACCGGCGAACGGGUGCGUAACGCGUAUGCAAUCUACCUUGUACUAAGGGAUAGCCCGAGGAAACUCGGAUUAAUACCUUAUAGAAUCACAGAUAGGCAUCUUGAAGUGAUUAAAGAUUUAUUGGUAUAAGAUGAGCAUGCGUCUGAUUAGUUAGUUGGUGAGGUAACGGCUCACCAAGACCACGAUCAGUAGGGGUUCUGAGAGGAUGAUCCCCCACACUGGCACUGAGAUACGGGCCAGACUCCUACGGGAGGCAGCAGUAGGGAAUAUUGGUCAAUGGGCGAAAGCCUGAACCAGCCAUGCCGCGUGCAGGAUGACGGCCUUCUGGGUUGUAAACUGCUUUUAUAUGGGAAGAAAAAGUCCUUGCGAGGAAAAUUGCCUGUACCAUAUGAAUAAGCACCGGCUAACUCCG
rnacentral:rRNA from 1 species